GAUGAACGCUGGCGGCGUGCCUAAUACAUGCAAGUCGAGCGAACAGUCGAGGAGCUUGCUCCUCUGACGUUAGCGGCGGACGGGUGAGUAACACGUGGAUAACCUACCUAUAAGACUGGGAUAACUUCGGGAAACCGGAGCUAAUACCGGAUAAUAUAUUGAACCGCAUGGUUCAAUAGUGAAAGACGGUUUUGCUGUCACUUAUAGAUGUAUCCGCGCCGCAUUAGCUAGUUGGUAAGGUAACGGCUUACCAAGGCAACGAUGCGUAGCCGACCUGAGAGGGUGAUCGGCCACACUGGAACUGAGACACGGUCCAGACUCCUACGGGAGGCAGCAGUAGGGAAUCUUCCGCAAUGGGCGAAAGCCUGACGGAGCAACGCCGCGUGAGUGAUGAAGGUCUUCGGAUCGUAAAACUCUGUUAUUAGGGAAGAACAAAUGUGUAAGUAACUAUGCACGUCUUGACGGUACCUAAUCAGAAAGCCACGGCUAACUACGUG
rnacentral:rRNA from 1 species